ensembl:lncRNA uncharacterized LOC108493449
GUGCCCGGUCCCGCUCGCCCUCCGAGGGACGCGCAAAGCUCGGGGACAGCCGGCAGCGAUGGCACCCCUGUCCCCGUGCCCCGCCCGCCCCUGAGGGCGGCUGCUGCCGGGAUGUUCAGCUGGCACCGGAGCUUCACCCUGGGAGCGCCCUGGAGAGGUAAGAAGAGCCCACCUGCUGAGGACAAAGUUGUGUUAACACACAUGAAGAUAUUGAGCAAUGAAGGAAUUCAAAACCCAGGGUUAAUCCCAGAGGCUCCAGCUGACACAGCCUGCACAGAAAAGUCCCAUCUUCCCGGCGCCAGCCUCCCACCAGACUGCUUGGAAAAUCCAAAUGCAGCAGCCGCACCGGCAGAUCCAAACUGUGCAGAUGGCCCGGCAAGCACUGACUACGUACCCACCCUGCCUGACCUCAGCGCCUUUGAGUCCAAGUGCCGGCUUCAUAGAUUCUCCAAAUUUGAAUCUGAGGACUCAGGGGUUGAAUUGCCAAGCGGGGCUAAUUCUCCAUCGACACCGACUGGCUCAGAGAAGAGCUUUGUGCUUCACAGCAGAGACUCAUUUUGUGACUCGGGUGUGCUUAGCACCUCCUCUUCUCCAGAAAUUGACCAUCAGCUAAUGAGAACAUGUAAAGAACAUGCCAGAAAAGUCAGCCUCCAAGAUCCAGAGAGCAAAAACCAAGAUGAUUACUACAGCCAGGAGGCAGAUGCUGUGCAGGGUCCUACAGCUUCCCUUGAAGACUUCAGCGUCCCUCAGGAAGAAAAUCCUGAUGAACAUUUUGACCAGAGUGACAAGCAGUUUCCAGAAAAGGAACCUACCCCAGAGAUGGACCUUUCCACGGAAAGCACUCUUUCCACCCCAGGUCCCAUAGAAGAGCCAAAGACAAUUGCUGACAAUUUCCCAGAGAAUUUUGGCAGCGUGCAAGACCUUCAGAUCCAUGAACAUCCGCUGAAGAAGUACCCCACAAGUGACAGUCUGAAUGAAUACAUGGAUGAAUGCUGUAGACUGAGUGAGGUGAACCAAGGUAAUAGCAAAGCCCUGGGAUCUGGUCUGGGAUACCUAGAACACAUUUGCCAACUGAUUGAAAAGAUUGGGCAGCUGCAGGAGCACAACCUGCGUCUCCAAAAACAAGUGUGCAGCUUGCAGAAAGAGCAGAAGAUGUGCCAGUUAAAAGAGGAGUACCUUCUGCAGCAUUGCUCCUGUGGAGCUGCCAGCAUCUUCCUCAGCUCACAUCAAGACAUUAAAACAAUUUUUGCUGGGAGGAGCAGACCUCACAGCCUCUUGGUUCAGACUGGAAACCCAUCUGAUCUUUCCAUCAUUCCAGAAAUAGGAGCGAACGCUGAAAAGCUGAGCAGCUGCAAUGGAAGCGAGAGAGACCUGGAAUCAGGAAAGAGCCAGCUGAUGGUGGGGCUCAGGAAGUCAUCAAACAACAGGAACAACAAGGAGAAUGAGUUCAGAGAAGCUGGCAGUAUGGCUGAGGGACAGGCUUUUCCGUCAAAGGACCCUUCAGUAAGAAAGGGUCUGGAUGUCAGCAAGAACAUCUCGGGUGAGAGCCAUGCUUGGGGGAGAAUGAGAGAUCUUAUGAGAAAGACACGGUUGAGAAAUCAGAACAAGCUGGGACUGACCUCUGCUGCUCUGAAGAGGUCCUGCCCACAGUUGUACAGGCCAGAUAUUAUGUCUUCGGAGCUGAAGAAAACUGAGAGGAACUCCAUGAUCAUUCUGGGACAAAAUACAAAGAAUGAAAACAUGUGGCCUUUCUGAUAACACGAGUCAAAUGGAACAAGAAAGGCAACAUGAAAACACCAAAGGACGCAAAACCAAGAACUCCAGGGUUACUUAGUGCAAUCUGCAUCCUACAGUUGUCAACAGAGCAACUCUGAUUUGAGCAUCGAAAGGGAAAGAGGGAAGGGGGAGGUUGAGAAGGUUCUGUGGACAGAGGCAUCCUCAGCUAUGUAUGGCUUCGCUCCUGAACUUGAAGUGUAUUUACAAAAGUCAUGGAUGAAAAUUGCUAUUAGCAUCAUAGCAACAUAACCAACAGAGACUUUUAAGACUCAGAAAUUCUUCCUCCAGUCUGGGUUAGGAACAGAACUACCUGAAACACUGAAGCUUUUAAACUGUCAUUGCUUUCUGGGGACCUUCUCCAGCUGAAAUAAACGUAAGCUUUAUGGGACA